rnacentral:rRNA from 1 species
CCGCUAAGGAGUGUGUAACAACUCACCUGCCGAAUGAACUAGCCCUGAAAAUGGAUGGCGCUGAAGCGGGCCACUUAUACUCCACCACCAGCGCAAGUGUUUGGCGCUGGUGAGUAGGAGGGCGUGAGGGUCGUCGUGCAGCUCGUGGCGUGAGCCAGAGUGAAACGGCCCUUAGUGCAGAUCUUGGUUGUAGUAGCAAAUAUUCAAAUGAGAACUUUGAAGACUGAAGUGGAGAAAGGUUCCACGUGAACAGCAUUUGGACGUGGGUUAGUCGAUCCUAAGAGAUAGGAGAAAUCCGUUGCAAGGCGGGCGUUUCGGCGCCCCUUCUAUCGAAAGGGAAUCGGGUUAAUAUUCCCGAACCAGGACGUGGAUGUUGAGUGGCAACACAAGCAAAGCCGGGGACGACGGCGGGGGCCCCGACAAGAGUUUUCUUUUCUUGUUAACAAGUGCAUCGACCCUGGAAUCGGAUUGACCGGAGAUAGGGUUGACGGCUUGGGAAAGGCGGUUACUUUUGGACCGUUUCGGUGCGCUCUCGACGUUCCUUGAAAACCUGGCGGCGUGUCUUAUUCGCACACCUGGUCGUACUCAUCACCGCAUCAGGUCUCCAAGGUUAGCAGCCUCUAGUC